rnacentral:lncRNA from 1 species
UAGAAGUGAAGAUGGGAAAUUGUUUGAGACAUGGAGAAUGCGUGGCACCAAUGACAAGUUUAGAUGUAGAAAAAGAAAGAUUAUUAUGGAUUAAUACUGGUAAUAGUAAGAUUAGAGGGACAAAAAUCAGAAUAACAAAGAAGGAGUUAGAGGACAUGUUAAGAGGAUUGAACAUGCAAGAUGUUACGGUAGAUCAAGUUUUAUCUACAAUAUUGAUCAAUUCAAGGAGCCAUGGCUAUCAUCAUCGGAAUCAACGUCAAUGGCGUCCCAUUCUCCAAAGAAUUCCUGAGGUUUAUUGAAGAAGUAAGAAGAUUAUCGUUUAGGUUCAGAAGAAAUGAAUUUAAGAUUUAAAUUGUAAAUGAUUGAUAAGUUAGAUUGAGAACAUAUGUAAUAGCAGAACUACUUUUUUGUGGUAAUGAAUGAAUGCUAAUUUUAAAGC